CCGAUAGCUGACUGACGAAGGAUCAUUA
rnacentral:rRNA from 1 species